ACUCAAAUGAAUAGACGGGGACCCGCACAAGCGGUGGAGCAUGUGGUUUAAUUCGAGGCAACGCGAAGAACCUUACCAGCCCUUGACAUGGAUAGUUUGGUCGGCAGAGAUGCCUUCCUUCGGUUUGGCCGGCUAUCACACAGGUGCUGCAUGGCUGUCGUCAGCUCGUGUCGUGAGAUGUUGGGUUAAGUCCCGCAACGAGCGCAACCCUCACCCCCUGUUGCUAACAGGUUAUGCUGAGCACUCUGGGGGAACUGCCGGUGAUAAGCCGGAGGAAGGCGGGGAUGACGUCAAGUCUUCAUGGCCCUUAUGGGCUGGGCUACACACGUGCUACAAUGGCGGUGACAAUAGGUUGCGACCCUGCGAGGGGUAGCUAAUCCUUUAAAAACCGCCUCAGUUCGGAUUGCACUCUGCAACUCGAGUGCAUGAAGCUGGAAUCGCUAGUAAUCGCGGAUCAGCACGCCGCGGUGAAUACGUUCCCGGGUCUUGUACACACCGCCCGU
rnacentral:rRNA from 1 species